CCACGUGUUACCUAAGAGAGCUUUCCAGCCUGUGCUAAGAAAACUGCCCCACAUCAUCUGCAGUAGGACGGGGGAGUUGGAGCCCUGGUCAGGCCACUCUGCUACUGACCACAGUUUUCUCAUCUCUAAAAAGGCGCAGUAACAAUAUAAUUACCGUAUGCAGUCCCCCAGGAUACAGGGUCAAAGGAGAGCACAACCAUCGCAGUUGGAAGCCCAUGGGCCCAGUGCAGAUGCAUCUGACUUACGAAACUUCAGUGACACCUGCUCUGUGCCAGACACUGAAGAUGGAGCAGUGAACAGCACUGACCCAGCCUGUCCUCCUGUUGCCUGCAGGCCAGAAGCAAGGUCUCGCUGUGUUACCCUGGCUGGAGUGCAGUGGCUACUUACAGGCAUGAUCAUAGCAUACUGCAGCCUCGAACUCCUGGACUAGAGCAGUUCUCCUGCCUCAGCCUCCAGAGCAGCUGGGACUGCAGACACGCACCACAGAGCCCAGCCUGAGUCAUUUUGAUUCUGUAACUGGCUUCCUCUCGGCGGGCAGGCUCACACCCUCCACCCCCAGCUGGAGAUGGAAGGAGGAUGCUCACCGCCCAUUCCUCAUGCAGGCCAUCGAUGGAAAUGUCAGACAGUGCGAGUCCACGCCUGAACACUUCUGGGGUCCGCUCUGGGACUGACACUGGCAGAUCCAUCGGUGAGCUCCCGCCUGCCACCUCUGGGCCUGCAUUGCGGUGAUAGGGCCAAGGGCCUGGGCCUUCAAUUCUCCAGACUUGCCAAAAUGCUCAGCGCAGGCCUCGUCGGCAACUGCAGACAAGCAGAGGCAGCACCUGGGCUCUGCCUGUGCCUGGCACAGUGAAGCGAGGGUGGGGGCAGGAAUGAGGGUCCUCUCCAUGCAAGGGGGGAAGAUAGAAGAACAAAAUUUCACCCUAAUGUAGUGUC
rnacentral:lncRNA from 1 species